AUGAGUAGGGCGGGACACGUGGUAUCCUGUCUGAAUAUGGGGGGACCAUCCUCCAAGGCUAAAUACUCCUGACUGACCGAUAGUGAACCAGUACCGUGAGGGAAAGGCGAAAAGAACCCCGGCGAGGGGAGUGAAAAAGAACCUGAAACCGUGUACGUACAAGCAGUGGGAGCACAGGUUUACCUGUGUGACUGCGUACCUUUUGUAUAAUGGGUCAGCGACUUAUAUUCUGUAGCAAG
rnacentral:rRNA from 1 species